GGGCCAUGGCUCAGUAGUAGAGCAUCUGUCCUGAAUGCAGAAGGUCCCGGGUUCAAUCCCCGACAUCUCCA